ensembl:lncRNA
GAAAUGUGACCAGUGUAUAGGACUGGUUUACCUUCAGAGGCAGGAAACAGAUAGCAAACCUGGCCACUACUUUCCUCCAACAGGGGCACUGGAUGAAGACCACAAGAUGGCACCCUGCAAAAGCCUGAAAGCCUGAAUCAUGGUAACGAACAGGACAUUUUGGACAAAAGUCAGAUGUUAAAUCUGUGGUGGAUCCAGAGCUUAAUCCAGGAACACUGGGCACCAACCAGGAACAUGCAAGAGAACCAGAGAACCGAAAGGAAACCCACAUGGAUACACAGAGAAAAUACGAAAUGUCACACAGACAGUAAAUGGACGCUCAGGGUUGAACCCCAGUCUCUGUAACAUUACAUACACUACAUGAAUGCCCUCUUUACAGUUUAAAACAUUGUUAUUCUCUAUCUGGUUGUCCACCACAUGUCCUCUAUUCUCAUGUACCACAUAUAGCUUUGAAUUAG